GGCUAAGCGUAUACGGGCGUACGACGGAUGCCUUGGCACCAUCAGGCGAUGAAGGACGUGGCAAGCUGCGAUAAGCUUCGGGGAGUGGCAAGCUCACUUUGAUCCGGAGAUUUCCGAAUGGAGCAAUCCAAUGGGUUUACCCAUUACCAGCGGCUGAACACAUAGGCCGUUAGGAGCUAUACGUAGGGAAGUGAAACAUCUCAGUACCUACAGGAGAAGACAUCAACCGAGAUUGCGUCAGUAGUGGCGAGCGAAAGCGCAAGAGCCUAAACCUAGGAGCCUGCUUCUAGGGGUUGCGGGACCACAAUGUAGCAAGAGAGUCGAUAGAGGAACGGUCUGGAAAGUCCGGCCAUAGCGGGUGAUAGCCCCUUACUCGAAAUCGUCUUGAAGCUUAGUGGGAUCCCAAGUAAGUCGGGACACGUGAAACCUUGACUGAAUCCGGGGGGCCCACCCUCCAAGGCUAAAUACUCGAUGGUGACCGAUAGUGAACGAGUACCGCGAGGGAAAGGUGAAAAGAACCCCCGAAGGGGAGUGAAAUAGACCUGAAAUCGUACGCCUACAUAACUAUUGCGGCGGUCGUUAUGGCCGUUGCAGUUUGCCUUUUGCAUAAUGAGUCCGCGAGUCACUCUGUGUUGCGAGGUUAACCGAGAGGGGAGCCGCAGCGAAAGCGAGUUCGAAAUGAGCGUUUUUAGUAGCACGGAGUGGACCCGAAGCCCAGUGAGCUAUCCUUGAGCAGGUUGAAGUUUCCGUAACAGGAAAUGGAGGACCGAACUUGUAGGCGCUGAAAAGCCUUAGGAUGACUUGAGGAUAGGAGCGAAAGACUUAUCAAACUGGGUGAUAGCUGGUUCUCUUCGAAAUGCCUUUAGGGGCAGCCUUAGUAAGGCAACAGAGGGGGGUAGAGCACUGAUUGGACUAGCGGCCCUGCCGGGUUAGCGACGCCUGUCAAACUCCGAAUACCCUCUGCCGAGCGCUAGGAGUGAGACUGUGGGGGCUAAGCUUCACAGUCGAGAGGGAAACAGCCCAGACCACCGACUAAGGCCCCUAAAUGGGACUCAGUCACUAAGGAUGUGAGGUUUCACAAACAGCCGGGAUGUUGGCUUAGAGGCAGCCAUCAUUUAAACAGUGCGUAAUAGCUGACCGGUCGAGAGAUCUUGCGCCGAAAAUGAUCGGGAGUCAAGUCCCAUGCCGAAGUCGUGGAUGUAUCUUUUGAUACGUGGUAGAAGAGCGUUCUAGUCAGCGUCGAAGGCAGCUCGUAAGAACUGCUGGAGCGUCUAGAAGUGAUUAUGCGGACAUGAGUAACGAAAAUUGGGGUGAGAAUCCCCAACGCCGGAAUCCCAAGGUUUCCCGGGGCAGGUUCGUCCGCCCGGGGUGAGUCGGUACCUAAGGCCAGGCCGAAAGGCGCAGCCGAUGGACAACAGGUUAAUAUUCCUGUACUUGACUUGCGAGUUUGAGCGAUGACGCGUGCAGAAAGCUAACACCGCUUCCUGAUGGAUGGGAGUGUAAGCCCGUAGGUUGAACCGUAGGCAAAUCCGCGGUUCUUUAUCUGAAAGGUGAUGCGGAAGAGGACUUGUCCUCUAAGGGUGUGAGGCUCGGCUGCCUGGAAAAACGUCUAGUGAUUGCAAGUUUAGCCGUACCAAAACCGACACAGGUGGGAGGGUACUAAGAUACCAAGGCGCGCGAGUGAAACCUCGUUAAGGAACUCGGCACAAUAGCCCCGUAACUUCGGAAGAAGGGGUCCCCCGUGAGGGGGCACAGUAAAUGGGCCCAUGCGACUGUUUAACAAAAACACAGCACUCCGCAAACGCGCAAGCGGAUAUAUGGAGUGUGACAAGUGACCAAUGCGGAAAGGUCAAGGCAAGGGGUUAGCAGCAAUGCGAAGCUCCGAACCAAAGCCCCCGUGAAUGUCGGCCGUAACUAUAACGGUCCUAAGGUAGCGAAAUUCCUUGUCGGGUAAGUUCCGACCUGCACGAAUCUUGUAACGAUAUGGGCACUGUCUCAACGAGGAGCUCGGUGAAGUUGUAAUGCCGGUGAAAAUGCCGGAUUCCCGCAGAAGGACGGAAAGACCCCAUGAACCUUUACUGUAAUCUGAUACUGGUACUUGAUCCGCCGUAUGUAGCAUAGCCGGGAGCCUUGGAAGGCACCUCGUCAGGGGUGUCGGAGGCAUCAGUGAAAUACCGGUUUCUGCGCAUUGAGCAUCUAACCGCGACCCGUUUCCGGGCGCUGGACAAUGUCAGAGGGUCAGUUUGACUGGGGCGGUUUCCUCCUAAACAGUAACGGAGGAGUUCGAAGGUCACCUCAGCACGGUCAGCAAUCGUGCGUCGAGCGCAAGGGUAGAAGGUGGCUUAACUGCGAGAGAGACAUCUCGAGCAGAUGCGAAAGCAGGACCUAGUGAUCCGGCGGUAACUCGUGGCAGUGCCGUCGCUCAACGGACAAAAGGUACUCUGGGGAUAACAGGCUGAUCGCUGUCGAGAGUUCAUAUCGACGCAGCGGUUUGGCACCUCGAUGUCGGCUCAUCGCAUCCUGGGGCUGGAGAAGGUCCCAAGGGUUUGGCUGUUCGCCAAUUAAAGCGGUACGCGAGCUGGGUUCAGAACGUCGUGAGACAGUUCGGUCCAUAUCCUCUGCGGGCGUAGGAAAUUUGAUGGGAAGAUUCCCUAGUACGAGAGGACCGGGAAUCACGCACCAAUGGUGUUGCAGUUGUCUCGCCAGAGGCACACGCUGCGUAGCUAUGUGCGGAACGGAUAAGCGCUGAAAGCAUCUAAGCGCCAAGCCUCCCCAAAGACAAGAUUUCCCCCACUUCGGUGGAGAAGGCAGGUUGAAGACUACGACCUUGAUAGGUUGGAGGUGUACGAGCAGCAAUGUUCUUAGCUGACCAAUACUAAUUGCCCACAGGCUUACCGUU
rnacentral:rRNA from 1 species